rnacentral:rRNA from 1 species
CCUACGGGCGGCAGCAGUGGGGAAUAUUGCACAAUGGGGGAAACCCUGAUGCAGCAACGCCGCGUGGGUGAAGGAGCGUUUCGGCGCGUAAAGCCCUGUCAGCGGGGAAGAAGAAAGACGGUACCCGACCAAGAAGCCCCGGCUAACUACGUGCCAGCAGCCGCGGUAAUACGUAGGGGGCGAGCGUUAUCCGGAAUUACUGGGUGUAAAGGGAGCGUAGACGGCGAGGUAAGCCUGAAGUGGAAGGCCGCGGCCCAACCGCGGAACUGCUUUGGGGACUGUUUUGCUAGAGUAUGGGAGGGGUAAGCGGAAUUCCUGGUGUAGCGGUGAAAUGCGUAGAUAUCAGGAAGAACACCGGUGGCGAAGGCGGCUUACUGGACCAUAACUGACGUUGAGGCUCGAAAGCGUGGGGAGCAAACAGGAUUAGAUACCCCAGUAGUC